rnacentral:rRNA from 1 species
GGGAGGUAGUGACAAUAAAUCACAAUGCGGAACAAUGUUUUGCAAUUGGAUUGAGAACAACGUACAAACCUUAUCGAUAAACAAUUGGAGGGCAAGUCUGGUGCCAGCAGCCGCGGUAAUUCCAGCUCCAAUAGCGUAUAUUAACGUUGUUGCAGUUAAAAAGCUCGUAGUUGAAAUGAAGGGUAGUUGUGUAAUGAAUACAUUCGUGUAUUUUGUUAUUCAACUACCCUCCUUCUAAAUUCGAUAUAUGAGUAUUAAUUUACUUGUAUAUGGUUUUAGACCUUUACUGUGAGAAAAUUAGAGUGUUCAAAGCAGGCAUUUGCUUGAAUAUAUUAGCAUGGAAUAAUCAUGUAUGAUUUUCAUGAUGUAUUUGAUUGGUUUGGUUCAUGAGAAUAAGAUUAAAAGGGACAGUUGGGGGUAUUCAUAUUCAAUAGUCAGAGGUGAAAUUCUCGGAUUUAUGGAAGAUGAACAAGUGCGAAAGCA